CAUAACCCCGGGAAACCUGGGUAUAAUACCCGAUAGGUCUCGAUUGCUGGAAUGCAUCGAGAUUUAAAGCUCCGGCGCCUAAGGAUGGGUCUGCGGCCUAUCAGGUAGUAGUGGGUGUAGCGUACCUACUAGCCUACGACGGGUACGGGUUGUGAGAGCAAGAGCCCGGAGAUGGAUUCUGAGACACGAAUCCAGGCCCUACGGGGUGCAGCAGGCGCGAAAACUUUACAAUGCUGGCAACAGCGAUAAGGGAACCUCGAGUGCCAGGUUACAAAUCUGGCUGUCGAGAUGCCUAAAAAGCAUUUCAUAGCAAGGGCCGGGCAAGACCGGUGCCAGCCGCCGCGGUAACACCGGCGGCUCGAGUGGUAACCGUUAUUAUUGGGUCUAAAGGGUCUGUAGCCGGCCGGAUAAGUCUCUUGAGAAAUCUGGCAGCUUAACUGUCAGGCUUUCAGGAGAUACUGUCUGGCUCGAGGCCGGGAGAGGUGAGAGGUACUUCAGGGGUAGGGGUGAAAUCUUGUAAUCCUUGAAGGACCACCAGUGGCGAAGGCGUCUCACCAGAACGGACCUGACGGCAAGGGACGAAAGCUAGGGGCACGAACCGGAUUAGAUACCCGGGUAGUCCUAGCCGUAAACGAUACUCGCUAGGUGUCGGCCACGGUGCGACCGUUGUCGGUGCCGUAGGGAAGCCGUGAAGCGAGCCACCCGGGAAGUACGGCCGCAAGGCUGAAACUUAAAGGAAUUGGCGGGGGAGCACCACAACGGGUGGAGCUUGCGGUUUAAUUGGAUUCAACGCCGGAAAUCUUACCGGGACCGACAGCAAUAUGAAGGCCAGCUGAAGACUUUGCCGGAUUAGCUGAGAGUGGUGCAU
rnacentral:rRNA from 1 species